rnacentral:rRNA from 1 species
GUUGAUCCUGCCGGAGGUUACUGCUAUCGAGGUUCGACUAAGCCAUGCGAGUCGAAUGUAGCAAUACAUGGCGUACUGCUCAGUAACACGUGGACAGCCUACCCUUAGGACGGGGAUAAACCCGGGAAACUGGGUAUAAUACCCGAUAGUCCUCGACUGCUGGAAUGCAUCGAGAACUAAAGCUCCGGCGCCUAAGGAUGGGUCUGCGGCCUAUCAGGUAGUAGUGGGUGUAACGUACCUACUAGCCUACGACGGGUAAGGGUUGUGAGAGCAAGAGUCCUGAGAUGGAUUCUGAGACAUGAAUCCAGGCCCUACGGGGUGCAGCAGGCGCGAAAACUUUACACUGCGGGAAACCGCGAUAAGGGGACCCCGAGUGCCAGCACCUAGUGCUGGCUGUCCAGCUGUUCAAAAAACAGUUGUUAGCAAGGGCCGGGCAAGACCGGUGCCAGCCGCCGCGGUAACACCGGCGGCCCGAGUGGUAGCCGUUAUUAUUGGGUCUAAAGGGUCUGUAGCCGGCCGGAUAAGUCUCUUGGGAAAUCCAGCAGCUCAACUGUUGGGCUUUCAGGAGAUACUGUCUGGCUCGAGGCCGGGAGAGGUGAGAGGUACUUCAGGGGUAGGGGUGAAAUCUUGUAAUCCUUGAAGGACCACCAGUGGCGAAGGCGUCUCACCAGAACGGACCUGACGGCAAGGGACGAAAGCUAGGGGCACGAACCGGAUUAGAUACCCGGGUAGUCCUAGCCGUAAACGAUACUCGCUAGGUGUCGGCCACGGUGCGACCGUUGUCGGUGCCGUAGGGAAGCCGUGAAGCGAGCCACCUGGGAAGUACGGCCGCAAGGCUGAAACUUAAAGGAAUUGGCGGGGGAGCACCACAACGG